UUGGACGAUAUAUUAAUCGUCGAGAUUUCAUAUAAUUGUUCAAUAGAUAAUUAACGGUUGAAAUGUCGGAAUCUAGGACUCCAGUUACCCGAGGAACAGAAGGUUCGCGACUCUCGGAGUACGUGAGAGAAAGCAUCGGAAUCCAGGUAGGGAUUCAGGACUCUCCUCGGUUGGUGAUUUUCUUUUAUAUUUUAUUAAUGUGAUGCAUGAUAAGUGGUAUGGGUUGGUUAUGUAAAAUGCAAUGCAUACUAACCAAUCCGUGAGAAAAUGUGUGAUGGCUUGAGAGCGAAAGGUGGCUCUGACUUCCUUGGGUUCGAUCCCCUUAACCUCCGGAGGGUUAGUUACGCCGGUCGUCCGGGUAUUCCGAUCGUAAUAACGGGCCCGGUACGUGUGUGUAGCUAGGUAGUGGACGCUCUCGCUACGCUUACCUGGUGAUAAAUUAAUUUGAGGUAAGGUCGUGUAGUGGGUCUAUGGGACCGGCCAUCAGGUAAUACUUGGUUUUGGCGCCGUAUUUAUUUAAGCAUCAUGCAUCGGUUUUCAAGUUGAAAAACAUUAAAGUUUGUCGUUCUUUUAAAUAAUUGGUUUAAGUAUGUUUUCAUACUGGAGCUCCAAAAUCUAUUUAUCGGUUUCAAACCUAGUCGAGUUAGAGUUCCUAUUGAGCAGCGAGGACGAAAGCUCACCCCUACAACAGUAUGGAUGCAGGUACUGUGCACUGGUGACGGGACAAUAGCGGACGGAGCUGGGUGUGCGGAACAAGUUCGGGCUGAAGGAAGCACUAUCAAAGGAAAGCACUUUCACUUGGACAAAUAAUCAGGAUCCAGAUUCCAGAUGGCCAAUUAGAUAGAGAAGGGCAGCAACAAAUGUCUUUGUCAACUUCAACUUAAAAGAACAAGGUCAGGGGUGGCCUAUUAUUGGGUUAUGCAGAAGGAUGUGAUCAAGAUAAUUCCAUCAAUUCAUAUGCUACUCUGUACUCAUUAG